GAACUUCUUUGCGAUUGUCUCUCAGCCACACUCCCAACGUGUAAAAGACAUUGGUUUGUUUCUCAAGUGUUAUUUCAAACUAAACAGGAUUCAUAUAAUACUAAAAGUUAAGAGGUCAAAAGUAAAAGCUCUUGACCUCUUAAAUAAAUUUCUGAGCUGAGAGUAAAAGAGCUGAAAUUUUAAUAGAGACUAGUUAGACACAAAAAUUAAUUGAACCACUAGAACCAACAUCAUCACCUUCAUCUCUAACAUUCACAACAUAAGAGUUUGAAGGUGACCGAAGAUACUGCGGAAGGAUAGCCUAAAUGUCAAUUAAGAUAUUAUAUGACACCCAAAUUUCCACCAAAAUCUUAUUUCUGAGCUGUACUCUCAGCCACCAUAUUCAUCCAUUAAAGCCGAAAAGUUGUCAAAUGUAUAAAUUUGAAAAAUAAUGUCAAA
rnacentral:lncRNA from 1 species